GAUGAACGCUGGCGGCGUGCCUAAUACAUGCAAGUCGAGCGGCAGCACGGUCUUCGGACUGGUGGCGAGCGGCGGACGGCUGAGUAACGCGUAGGAAUAUACCCCAAAGUGAGGGAUAACUGCCCGAAAGGGUGACUAAUACCGCAUGUGGUCUUCGGACUAAAGCCUUCGGGCGCUUUGGGAAUAGCCUGCGUAAGAUUAGCUAGUUGGUGAGGUAAUGGCUCACCAAGGCGACGAUCUUUAGCUGGUCUGAGAGGAUGACCAGCCAGACUGGUACUGAGACGACGGUCCAGACUCCUACGGGAGGCAGCAGUAGGGUAAUUUCCACAAGUGGGACGAAAGCCUGAUGGAGCAACGCCGCGUGC
rnacentral:rRNA from 1 species